rnacentral:rRNA from 1 species
UUCCCUCUUUCUUCCUGCCUCCCACAUGCAAGUCGAGCGGAUGAAGGGAGAUUGCUCCUGGAUUCAGCGGAGGACGGGUGAGUAAUGCCUAGGAAUCUGCCUGGUAGUGGGGGAUAACGUCCGGAAACGGGCGCUAAUAACGCAUACGUCCUGAGGGAGAAAGUGGGGGAUCUUCGGACCUCACGCUAUCAGAUGAGCCUAGGUCGGAUUAGCUAGUUGGUGGGGUAAAGGCCUACCAAGGCGACGAUCCGUAGCUGGUCUGAGAGGAUGAUCAGUCACACUGGAACUGAGACACGGUCCAGACUCCUACGGGAGGCAGCAGUGGGGAAUAUUGGACAAUGGGCGAAAGCCUGAUGCAGCCAUGCCGCGUGUGUGAAGAAGGUCUUCGGAUUGUAAAGCACUUUAAGUUGGGAGGAAGGGCAGUAAGUUAAUACCUUGCUGUAUUGACGUUACCAACAGAAUAAGCACCGGCUAACUCCGUG